rnacentral:lncRNA from 1 species
ACAGAAGACGAAGAGCUGGAAUAGAGCUCGCCUCGGCUCUGCUGGCCUUGGCUGCAGCUCUUCCAGAAACCCGGGGCGCCCACAGAAGAAUCUCUUACCUGGCUCUCUCUUCAGGGAUGACAUCAUCGGCUCACACCAGUCUUCCAGGACCACCUUCUGGAUGCCAAGGCUGCUGCUCGAGUACCUGCUGUGCACCUCUACCUCCUGAGCCAAGGAGCACGGAUUCCAGGAACCCACUACCAUACAGAGCAACUCCUUGUGGACCCCCCUGGGAUCAGGACAGCGAGGGACAAGCGACAAAGAGGAUCAUCAGUGGCCAGCUAGUUUCUCUGGGGUUCAAACCUUGAACCAGUGCCCUAGUGAGGGGGCACUGGCCAUGGCCCUUGACCUUUGCUCUGCUUGUGUCUUGAGUCUGAGCCCUUUCCUGUACAUCUGUGCUCGUGUUCAUCUGCUAGUGAACUGGAGUGCUGCCCUCCCCGAGGAGGGUCGUCCCUUGUGACUGAUCAUGCUGUCCUAACAAUGUCCUGAGCAAAAGGGUCCCUUUGGGAACCUCUCAGGAGGGGGACCCGGGUCAGGGGCGACCAGCAUCUUGCUGGCAACUCCGUGGGUGGGGUGGGGUGGGGUGCUUCCUUCUGGAAUGAGCACGUGGCUGACCCCCCAAGGCAUGUCCCCUCCCCCUCCUCCACCCACCUUCUCGGAGAUGUCCCUUUUGGGGUAGUGGGGACAUUAGGAGCAACCUCCUAGGGUUGUUGUGAGAAUUAAAUGAACUGCAGCAGCCUGAGGCAGGGCUGGGCAGAGACCUCAGCACAUGUUUGUUGAAAGGUUUGCAGGUGGAUCUAGUCCUCCCGUUCAUGGCUCAUGUGUCUCAACCAUUCUCUCGCAGACUCCUGCAGCCCCUAUGCCCAGGGCUCUCCUUGCGCCAGCCCCGGCUUCUCGAGGCCUGUCUACACUCGCUGCUUUCCUUCCUCACCUCCAAUUUCCCCUCCAACCCACUGCUUCCUGACUCGCUCUUCUCCAUCGAACGGCUCUCGCUCAGCUGGCAUUGCCCACCGGCCAUGCCGGCUGAAGAAAAGAAGACUGAGGACCCCAGGAUGCCCAGCGCGAGGACCCCAGGAAGCCCAGCGCGAGGACUCCACCCACGACGCCCAGCGCGAGGACUUCACGCACAACACGUUGCAACCCUCCUGGAUUAGGCCAAAGCCAUCAUCUGGAAUCCUGCGUGGGACCCUGGACACACGGACACAGACACCUGCCCCCAGGACCCUCCAACUGUAAAUCGAUUGGAAGCGCCCUUGUGAGCUGGGGCCUUCAAAGGGCUGAGGAGAAAAUGCAGGCCGAGAGACCAGCUUCUCAAAUAGGCUUCAAGCCUCCAUGACCUGAGCUCACCCCCUGGAAAUGUCUGGAAAACAUAAUGGGCAGGUUUUCUGUCUUCAAAGUUUCCAUCAAAACCUCUUCAAGUUCUUUAUUGUUUAGGACUGAGACACUUGGGGACAGUAAUGGGGACUUUCUUUUGUAUCUGUCUUGAAAGGCCAAAAUAUUUUUAUAUUGCUGUAGACAAAGCCACCUAUUUACAAAUGGACUCUUGUUCCGUCGUUUCCCACCAGGAAGACCGUACUAUGUUUGUGUCUCUAUGUAUUCUGGGGUCUUGAAACAGGUUUCUCAUGGGGAUGGCCAUUCACUAGAGCCCAGAGGGGCAGAAGGGGAAGUGUCUACCCUGCCAAGGGGGUCUGGGGAAGGAGGGGGGCUAGUCUCAGAUUUGCUCCUUGUAUGUCUAGGGUAAACCCUGGGAGAAUCUGGUGGUAAAAGAACAUAUGCUGUGUUUGCCCCACAUCUGCCAUUUGUGUGUGUUUCUGGGCUACGGGUUUGCACACUUUGGUGGUUAACAUGGUGGGAGGAAGUAAGAAGGGCCAAGAGGGCACGGGUGCUCUGGUUUUCCUGCUGGGAGGCUGUUUCACUGGUGUGUGUUACAUCACAUAAUGCAUGUUUAGCUGGGUGAGUGACAACAGUAUGAAGGGACAGAGAAACAAAUAGGUGUAGAAAGAGAGUCACAGAGCACACAGUCACCAUUCUGUGCCCAGGCGUUCAUUAAAUGUUCAAUAGAAUGCUGAGCUCUGAUAGACAGAGCGGGCCAUGGACACACUGGUAUUGGGUCAUCAUGGACCUAAGGAGUUUUUUUAAUUGAAGAAGGAAUCUUACAUAACAGAAGAAAGAAUAAGAAGAGCUGUCAAAACGAGCUCUGAGGUUUUUGAAGCCCCUUAAUAUAAACAGACAGACAAUGGCGUGAUCAGGAAAGGGAGAAAACAAACAAACAAACAAACAAGAUGCUUACAGAAAUACGAGAGGACGUGUGAGCAUGCAAAGAGAACCCAGCUAGGUUAGUAUCGGGGUGCUGGUGGAUCGUUAAUCCUGUCUGGGUACCCCAGCUCCAAGGGGAUGAGAGGCAGCAAGUGAGAGGACACAUAGGAAACUGUAACAAGACAGAGGCGAGCAGAUGGGGAGCUUCAGCGGAGUGUUAAGCUAGGCUUCGCAAUCUGACCACUUAACUCUCCCAGCAAAGAAAAGAAAGGCUUAAAUACUAAAAA